rnacentral:rRNA from 1 species
UACGUAGGGGGCUAGCGUUGUCCGGAAUCAUUGGGCGUAAAGAGCGUGUAGGCGGUCCGGUAAGUCCGCUGUGAAAGUCGGGGGCUCAACCCUCGAAUGCCGGUGGAUACUGUCGGACUAGAGUCCGGAAGAGGCGAGUGGAAUUCCCGGUGUAGCGGUGAAAUGCGCAGAUAUCGGGAGGAACACCAAUGGCGAAGGCAGCUCGCUGGGACGGUACUGACGCUGAGGCGCGAAAGCGUGGGGAGCAAACAGG